AACGCGAAGAACCUUACCAGCUCUUGACAUGGAAGUCGCGAGUCUGAGAGAUCAGACUUUUCGGUUCGGCCGGACUUCGCACAGGUGGUGCAUGGCUGUCGUCAGCUCGUGUCGUGAGAUGUUGGGUUAAGUCCUUUAACGGGCGCAACCCCUAUCUUUAGUUGCUAACAGGUUAAGCUGAGAACUUUAAAGAGACUGCCAGUGAUAAACUGGAGGAAGGUGGGGAUGAUGUCAAGUCCUCAUGCCCCUUAUGAGCUGGGCUACACACGUGCUACAAUGGCGGCUACAAUAGGUUGCAAUGGAGUGAUCCGGAGCCAAUCCUUGAAAAGCCGUCUCAGUUCGGAUUGUUCUCUGCAACUCGAGAACAUGAAGUUGGAAUCGCUAGUAAUCGCAGAUCAGCACGCUGCGGUGAAUACGUUCCCGGGCCUUGUACACACCGGUAUCUC
rnacentral:rRNA from 1 species